rnacentral:lncRNA from 1 species
CCAAGAAUGAUAAACCGCCAAUCCUAAUCCCACUUUUUGGAUAGAGAAACAAAUCUUUCUCUGGCAUAAUUUAUGCUCUUUGACUGCGAUCUAUAAAUAUUAGGCUGUGACAGCCUGCCAGAACUUCUCUUGCAGCACCUACUGAUUGGAGUUUUUCUAAAGAAGCUUCACAAAAGCAGAAGCAGCAGAAGACGGAGUCACCCUACAGGUGCACGCUGCGGCAGUUCUCUCUUCAGUCUUCCCAACAGGAUUUCUGAGACUCUGUACCUCAACAUCUUUAUUGGUAAUGGAUCCUUCCCUUAAUUUGCUGUGAUGCAUUUGGAAUGUCAGCUUCUAAAACAAGGCACAUGGGAGGCAUCUAAAGUAGAUUUUUUGAAAGGAAAAUGAACAAAGAGCAUGUCAGGUUCCAUUUUGAUUUGCAUGACAAAUCCAGCAUGCAGCAUUCAGGAGGGUUGGGCUGGGCUUGCCUGCCACUCACUGCGUUUGUCACUUUGGUUUGAACACUUUUGACAGUCUGUAAUGUUAAUUGUUCUAAGGAUUGUUUUGCUGGAGGAAGGAAGAAAAGGAAAGGAUUUGGGUUCUUGUUCUACUUUUUCCAUGUACAGGAAAGGAGGGAUAUCUGAGGAAGCAGAAAAUGUUUUCAAUUUGGCUUUGAUAUGUUUUGUUUAUAAGUAAUCCCAUGAGUUCACCAACAAGUUCAGUAUUAUAAAUGUUAUUGUGUGUGUGUGUUUCGAGAGAGAAAUACUAGGCCCCUAAACUAGUAACCUGGGGAGUCUAUUGUUUUGGUGCACACCAUUCUUUCUGCCUCUAAGUCCCACAGAGAUGGGUCCUGCAGAGCGGUUUGUACUAUGCCUAUAUGCUUCUAUCACAUGAUAUUGUGGUGC